UACGGAGGGGGCAAGCGUUAUUCGGAAUUAUUGGGCGUAAAGGGCGCGUAGGCGGCUAGAUGUGUCAAAGGUGAAAUCCCUCGGCUCAACUGAGGAACUGCCUUUGAAACUGUCUGGCUUGAGGCCGGGAGAGGGUAGCGGAAUUCCCAGUGUAGCGGUGAAAUGCGUAGAUAUUGGGAGGAACACCAGUGGCGAAGGCGGCUACCUGGACCGGUUCUGACGCUGAGGCGCGAAAGCGUGGGUAACAAACAGG
rnacentral:rRNA from 1 species